GCGAGGAAUCUUGGUCAAUGGGGGAAACCCUGAACCAGCGACGCCGCGUGGAGGACGAAGGCCCUUGGGUCGUAAACUCCUUUUGCCGGGGACGAGCAGAAGACGGUACCCGGCGAAUAAGCCACGGCUAACUACGUGCCAGCAGCCGCGGUAAUACGUAGGUGGCGAGCGUUGUCCGGAUUUACUGGGCGUAAAGAGCACGUAGGCGGCAUGGUCAGUCUCGCGUGAAAGGUUCCGGCUCAACCGGGACACUGCGUGGGAUACUGCCGUGCUUGAGGGCAGCAGAGGGCGGUGGAAUUCCCGGUGGAGUGGUGAAAUGCGUAGAUAUCGGGAGGAACACCAGUGGCGAAGGCGGCCGCCUGGGCUGUCCCUGACGCUGAGGUGCGAAAGCGUGGGGAGCGAACCGGAUUAGAUACCCUAGUAGUCC
rnacentral:rRNA from 1 species